rnacentral:rRNA from 1 species
GACGAACGCUGGCGGCGUGCCUAAUACAUGCAAGUCGAGCGGACUGAUUAAGAGCCUGCUCUUAUGACGUUAGCGGCGGACGGGUGAGUAACACGUGGGCAACCUGCCCUGUAGAUCGGGAUAACACCGAGAAAUCGGUGCUAAUACCGGGUAAUAUCUGAGAUCACAUGAUCUUAGGUUAAAAGAUGGCUCCGGCUAUCACUACAGGAUGGGCCCGCGGCGCAUUAGCUAGUUGGUAAGGUAAUGGCUUACCAAGGCGACGAUGCGUAGCCGACCUGAGAGGGUGAUCGGCCACACUGGGACUGAGACACGGCCCAGACUCCUACGGGAGGCAGCAGUAGGGAAUCUUCCGCAAUGGACGAAAGUCUGACGGAGCAACGCCGCGUGAGUGAUGAAGGGUUUCGGCUCGUAAAGCUCUGUUGUUAGGGAAGAAACAGUACCGAACGAACUAGGUCGGUACCUUGACGGUACCUAACCAGAAAGCCACGGCUAACUACGUG